rnacentral:rRNA from 1 species
CAAGGGGAUAGCCUUUGGAAACGAAGAAUAAUACCCUAUAAAGUCAAUUUAUCGCAUGAUAGAGUGACCAAAGAUUUAUCGGUGUAAGAUGGACUUGCGUCUGAUUAGCUAGUUGGUGAGAUAAAAGCUCACCAAGGCGACGAUCAGUAGCCGGCUUGAGAGAGUGUACGGCCACAUUGGGACUGAGACACGGCCCAAACUCCUACGGGAGGCAGCAGUGGGGAAUUUUGCACAAUGGGGGAAACCCUGAUGCAGCGACGCCGCGUGAUUUAGAAGGCCUUCGGGUUGUAAAAAUCUUUUUUACGGGAUGAAAAUGACAGUACCGUAGAAUAAGGUCCGGCUAAAUACGUGCCAGCAGCCGCGGUAAUACGUAUGGACCGAGCGUUGUCCGGAAUCAUUGGGCGUAAAGGGUACGUAGGCGGCCUAGUAAGUUAGAAGUGAAAUAAUAUAGCUCAACUAUAUAAAGCCUUUAAAACUGCUAGGCUUGAGAGAUGGAAGGGAAAGUGGAAUUCCUAGUGUAGCGGUGAAAUGCGCAGAUAUUAGGAAGAAUACCGGUGGCGAAGGCGACUUUCUGGUCAUCAUCUGACGCUGAGGUACGAAAGCGUGGGUAGCAAACAGGAUUAGAUACCCUGGUAGUCCACGCUGUAAACGAUGAGUGUUAGGUUCUUGGAAUAAUCUGGGAGCCGCAGCUAACGCAUUAAACACUCCGCCUGGGGAGUACGCACGCAAGUGUGAAACUCAAAGGAAUUGACGG